CACAAGAAGAUAUUUUGAAGAAUGUUCACGUUGGUAACCGAACUACAGCGGUAACCAUUGAUUUACUUCUAAAUAACACACAAGAAGAUAUUUUGAAGAAUGUUCACGUUGGUAACCGAACUACAGCGGUACCGAUUGAUUUAGUUCCGCAGAACACACAAGAAGAUAUUUUGAAGUAUGUUCACCUUUUUAACCGAACUACAGCGGCACCCAUUGACUUUCUUCUGCAAAACACACAAGAAGAUAUUUUGAAGUAUGUUCACCCUUUUUAACCGAACUACAGCGGCACCCAUUGACUUUCUUCUGCAGAACACACAAGAAGAUAUUUUGAAGAAUGUUCACGUUGGGAACCGAACUACAGUGGUAACCAUUGACUUCCAUUAGUUUUGUGAAUUUAGAAUGGGUUCUAGCACUGUUCAGUUACCAACAUUCUUCUAAAUAUCUUCUUUUUUGUCUGUGGAAGAAAGGAAGUCAAACAGGUUUAAAAAGACAAAAGGGCGUGUAGUUAAUGACAGAAUAUUACUUUUUGGGUGAACUCUCCCUCUAACACAAGUGAAUGAUGUACAUUUAUCAUUGAAAACUUUAACCAAGUUAGAAUUUCUUUCUCAUUUGUAUUCUAUUAUGUCAAAAACAAUAACAGACAAACAACAUUUUGAACCUGUGGCAGGAUCACAGGUAAGUCUUUGACCGGUAAGGUCUGGUAAAAGAGACAUGUUUACCACCGACUCUCCUUUGCCAGUAACCAGUCGAACCAGUUUAGCAAACCAGUAAUUAGUUUGCUUCCUAAAACAUGUGUAGAACAAUAAAAUUAGUUUGAGAAAGUGCUGGAGAACAUUGUUACGUGUGUGAAUCAUGCAGCGACCUGAUUUCUCUGCGAUUGAUAUGAACGUAAAUAGUUUUGAUGCCAAACACACGUGUACAGUACAUUACGUGCAGCAGUUUCACGUGAUGUGCCAGGAACACAAUGUGUUUGUGACGAGCGUAUAAUAAAGCUGUUGUGUGUUCUAAACACCACGAGCGAAGUUCCAAGAGGUCAAUCUGCUAGAGAGAGUGAUAAAUAAAGACAGAGCAACUUUUGCUCCAUAUUCUGUCAAUGACUAACUAAACAACCCCUCCCAGUACACAAAGUACUCGCUCUCGCUCUCGUUCACAGCUCUCCGGGCCAUAUGGUAAAACUCUGCAAACAUCUGUAAUCAAGCCCAGCGAUGUCAGUGAUCCAUGGCCACACGCUUGUAAAAGAAGCAAAAAAGAGAGAAAGCAGGAGAGCUGUGACGGGCAGAGCAAAUAAAAGAGAUGUUAGAACUCUGGCCCUAAUCCAACAGCACCAGUAAAUGUUUAAAGAAAAUAAAAAAUAAUAAUUCUGUCAUUUAUUCACACUCAUUUCAUUCAAAACCUGUGUGUGAGUCUUUCUUCUGCUGAACACAAAAGAAGAUAUUUUGAGAAAUGUCUCAGUGGUUUUGUGUCCAUACAAUGAAAAAGUCAACUUUCUUGGAAAUAUCUUCUUUCCAGAAUUGCUGACCCCAUCGGGCUCGCGCUGGGCCGAGAAAACACGACGCUCCACGGAGGGCGCUUGUUUAUCGUUCAUCUGCUUAAAACACGAACACGCAAAGUUCAUAUUCAUACACUUAGUUUGUAAACGUUUGCCAAGACAAGCAGCGAGUCUAGAAGGGAGCGAUUAUGGGAUGGCACCAUUGACUGACUCUGUGCGAAGUUUGUCCUGAGCUUUUCUGGGCAGAGGUAAACAUUGUUUGUGUACAUAAACGGAAUGAAAAUAUUCACAUUUUAAAGUACUAGCUCGCCCCCCCCCCCCCACACACACACAAACAUAACAUACUCACUCCAAACCUGUAGCAAAACACAAAAGAAGAUAUUUUGAAGAACGUUACAACAUGGCCCCCAUUGACUUCCAUUGUACGAACACUACACCCACUGAGACAUUUCUCAAAAUAUCUUCUUUUGUGUAACAUCUCAAAGCCUUUUAUUGAUUCUCAAAUGUAUAUAUAGUGUGUAUGUGGGUUGAGUCGACGACAUGAUCCUCCAGUCAACACACAUACUGCAGCGUCUGAUGGGGCUCCAGUUACCGACAGCGGUCAAGUGACCCGCUUUUUUCCAUCUCCCGUCAUCAACACAACCACGUGCGUUUGGGACAACAAAACAACGUGUCUCAGAGUGAUGGGGAGCGUGAGGGAGGGCGCUGUGGCCUGAAGAAACUUACUGUAUUACUCCUUCCUAGUGAACAUAUGGAGCUCGGUCUGUAAAUAAAACAGCACACCAAUGCUUGAAACGCCACUGAAGGCAGGAGAACAUGAAAUCAGAUUGGGUUUAAGAUUGUGUUUCUGUGUUGUGGGUCACUGUAUCAUUUAUUGUAGGUGUUUGCAAAGACGGGAAUCAUUUGAACAUUAGGAGUUUAGGAUUAUUUUGACGGAAGACACAGACGAGCACCACUUGACAUUUUCUGUUGAAAUUUUGUUCAUUAUAGAAUAUGCUAAUUUUCUUAACCUGUUUUUAAUGUUUCUUAAAGAGACCCAAACAUUGUCCUCGUGUCAUUUCAAACCUGUAUGACUUUCUCUCUUCUGCAGAACACAAAAGAAGAUAUUUUUGAAGAAUGUUGCUAACCAAACGACAUUGAUCCCCAUUGACUUCCAUUGUAUGAACACAAAACCACAUUUUUCUAAAUACAUUCUUCUGUGUUCCACUAAAGAAAGAUUCACGCGCAUGUUUUAAACAACACGAGCGUGAAUAAAUGAAGACAGAAUAUUUAUUUUUGGGUGAACUGCCUCUUUAAAUGUCACAUUAUAUCAGGAACCCCUUCAAAAUGUUCUGACUGACAUUUUUCUUUUAGUCUUUCUUGAACUAUGUUAACCGACCUAUAUGUAACAUUAAUGAGAUACUUUACCCAAAAUUUUCAAUUCUGUCAUCUUUACUCACCUUAAAGUUGUAACAAUUGUGUAUAAAUGUCUUUGUUCUGCUGAACAUGGAGAGAGAUAUUUGGAAGAAUGCUUGUAGCCAAACAGAUCUCGACACCCAUUGAAAAAAAACAGUCAAUAGUGCACCAGAACUGUUUGUUGUCCCACAUUCUUCAAAAUAUCUUCUUUUGUGUUCAACAGAACCACAAUGAUAAAGUAAUUUUCCGAAUGGGGUCCAGAUCUGUUUUGUUAUAAACAUUCGAUCUCUGUGUUCAUCAGAUCAAAAACAUUUAUACACAUUUGGAACGACUGGAAGGUGAGGAAACGAUGACAGAAUUUUAAUUCUGUUGACAAGACGUCUUUCUGUUUUGAAUGUUGAACGUUCAUGUUUUUCAACCCCUCUCACUACAAAAUCAGUGUUGUGGAUUUUGGAUUGUUAGUUUGCAAUCACGUCCUCCCGCUUGUUGCAGUUGCAUUUCAUGGCCGCCAUCCAGACAAUAAUUACAACUUGACUUCGGGUCCGAGGCGAUAUGUUGUUCCAGUAAAAACCCAGAGCAGCACAAACAGGCUGAAGAAGUUCUCUGUUCGAUGACAGGACAGGAGGGGUUGGAUGUUUUCUAGAAGAAGUAGAACACAAUGUGCUUUAGCUCUCCGGUUACAACCCUGUUUAUCAAACUCUGCGCUCCCAUUGGUCGAGGCCACCCGGAAGCGACCCGGCCCACUCCUCAUGAACCAAUCAGCGGCCGGAGAAAGUUUUAGUGUAUGUGUGAAGGAAAUGAGGGGGGUUUGGGGUACCUACAGUGAAUAGGCGUGUGAGAAGCGCGCGCAUAUGUGUGUGUGUUUGGACAAGCUCAAUGGAUUCAGUUCCUGGAAGCGCCCCCAACUUGCUCCAAAUUCCUGCGAAUGCUCACAAUAACAAAUUCCUGAAAGCGGCUGACCAAUGACAGAGACUGAACCCCCUGUCUCGCUGCGGUGGAGGAAGUCCGAAACAGACAAGAGGGGUGUAGAGACGGGGGAUGUUUAUGUCAACCUGGCCGUACCGCAGAAUGCUACUGCGCCGUCACCCCUCCCGUUCACACACGGGUCUAAACAAGCCUCUGUUCACUCUCUUAACCUCUGUGCUCUGUAGCUGCGCUGAAACAGAGCCAUUUAGAGAGAGAGUUCUGCCAACGGAAGUCCAAAACGCUGGAGCGUCAUGUGAUUCAUGGAGCCUUCAGAUAGUUGCAGAAAGUCAUGUUCUCUUUAAAUGCUGUAUUUCUUUCAUUUUGUAUUCAUAAAAUGUCUUUCAUCUUUAA